ACCCUUUUGUAGUUCUUGAGUGUGAUGCUAGAGUGCUCACACUCACAUGUGUAUGUGCCUCCCUCAAACCUUGUUACGACGUUGGCACAUUGCCCAGGGAGGUGAAA